UUUUUUGUUCAUAAUGAUGUUAAUUUUUCUUAAAUAUUUGACAAAUUUUUGGUUUGGACUGAGAUUCUGUGUCUCACAAAUCAGGUUAAAGUCUAAGUUUUGGGAUAAGUAUAGAUCUGGAGAUAUUGUGUGCUGGUUUAUGAGACAUCAGUCGACUAGAAUCCAAAGAACAUGUUAUGGUUAAUGCGUUGGGCAUUCUUAUGGUUUAUUUUGUGAUUUGCCUAAAGAUAGACACGACAAGUCAUGGCCUAAAAAUAAAUCACUGUACACCACCAUGGUUUAAAGAUAGCCAAUGUAAUAUAGACAAUGCACAACAUUGCAUAAAGAAAGACAUUGUACACCAUGGCCUAAAGAUACAAAAUACAAAAUGACCUAAAGGUAGAAAAGUUACUCAAUAGCCUAAAGAUAGGCAAUGUACACCAUGACCUAAAGGUAAGACAAUGUUCACCAUGGCAAAUAAAAGAUAAAUGAUGUAUACCAUGGCUUAAAGAUAGACUAUGAAAUCAUUGACUUAAGAUAUACUAUGUGAUCAUGGC
rnacentral:lncRNA from 1 species